rnacentral:misc_RNA from 1 species
CCUCUGCACUCGUAUUCUGAGCGCUAACUGCUCCGUCGGCGCUAACAGCUUCCCAUCCUGUGAAGCUUGCACGAAAAGUUGCACCAAUGCUAAUUCACAUGAAGCCUGUUCUCGGGCUGUACCGAACCCGGAAGACUUCCUACCGAAGAAGCCGAAAUAGACAAGCUGCUCU